CUGCAUCUGUUCAGCGUCUGCAUUGACAACAUGCGGCCUUUAAUGCUGCUGAAUGUAUUUAAUUUAUUCGUUUGUUGUUUGACUGAAGGGACCUUGCAUUCUCCUAGGAUGGUGUUUACAGCCAAAGAGUCUGAGGUUAAAAACCUUUCGUUACCUGAACAACAUUUGCCGGGUGUGAUGCUUCUGGAAGGACAGCCGGAUACUGUUGUGUCUUUUGGAAAGACUUCUGUGGUUUUAUACAAAAUGGGCAAGACUGUGACAUCGGUG